UAGAAUGAAGCUCGCUGGAUUGAGCGUUUAGCUGUUAACUAAAAUACUACGGGAUCAAGGCCCGUCUUUCUAG
rnacentral:tRNA from 1 species